UGAGCACAGGGCACCUCAGUAGUGCUGUAGACUCCUGAUGAUUGUGUGUUGAGAAAGCUAACCUUGGAGACUUGAGGAUUAA